UAAAACUAUUAAACGAUACAAUUUCUAAAACACUUAACAACAUACAACUGGCAUAAUAGCUUUUCUAUCGGUAGAGGAGCGUUGUAUAUGAAUUGAAGCAAAAAGCGUAAGCAAUUGUGGAUUAUAUACAAGUGAGAAUGCUGGCAUGAGUAGCGAAAAGGGAUGUGAGAAUCAUCCCCGUCGAAAGCCCAAGGAUUCCUGAGCAAGGCUCGUCCUCUCAGGGUAAGUCGGGACCUAAGGCGAGGCCGAAAGGCGUAGUCGAUGGACAACAGGUAGAAAUUCCUGUACUACAAGAUUGUGAUUGAGAGAAGUACUGACGCAGAAGGAAAAGUCGAGCGUGUGAAUGGUAGAACACGUCCAAGUAACAAGCCAGAAUAUACAGGCAAAUCCGUAUAUUCGCUAACGUAAGUUAUAAUGGGGAGCAGAAAGAUGCGAAGCGACAGAUUCAAACUGCCAAGAAAAGGUGCUAUCGAAUAAUCUUGUACCCGUACCGCAAACCGACACAGGUAGGCAAGAAGAGAAUUCUAAGACGCGCGGAAGAACCUUUGUUAAGGAACUCGGCAAAAUAAUCCCGUAAGUUAGCGAGAAGGGAUGCCUAAGAAAUUAGGUCGCAGAGAAUAGGCCCAAGCGACUGUUUACCAAAAACACAAGUAUCUGCUAAAUCGAAAGAUGAAGUAUAGGUGCUGACACCUGCCCGGUGCUGGAAGGUCAAGGGGACUUGUUAGAGCAAUCGAAGCAACGAACUUAAGCCCCAGUAAACGGCGGCCGUAACUAUAACGGUCCUAAGGUAGCGAAAUUCCUUGUCGGGUAAGUUCCGACCCGCACGAAAGGUGUAACGAUUUGGGCGCUGUCUCAACAAAGGAUCCGGUGAAAUUGUAGUAGUCGUGAAGAUGCGACUUACCCACGGUAGGACGGAAAGACCCCGUGGAGCUUUACUGCAGGUUGACAUUGAAUUUUGGGAUUAAAUGUACAGGAUAGGUGGGAGACGAAGAAGCAAGCUCGCCAGAGUUUGCAGAGUCACUGUUGGGAUACCACCCUUUUAAUUCUAAAGUUCUAACUAGUUACCAUGAAGCUGGUAAUAGGACACUGUCAGUCGGGCAGUUUGACUGGGGCGGUCGCCUCCAAAAAAGUAACGGAGGCGUUCAAAGGUUCGCUCAGAAUGGUUGGAAAUCAUUCAAAGAGUACAAAGGCAAAAGCGAGCUUAACUGCGAGACAUACAGGUCGAGCAGAGACGAAAGUCGGACUUAGUGAUCCGGUGGUACCGAGUGGAAGGGCCAUCGCUCAACGGAUAAAAGCUACCCCGGGGAUAACAGGCUUAUCUCCCCCAAGAGUCCACAUCGACGGGGAGGUUUGGCACCUCGAUGUCGGCUCGUCUCAUCCUGGAGCUGGAGUAGGUUCCAAGGGUUGGGCUGUUCGCCCAUUAAAGAGGCACGCGAGCUGGGUUCAGAACGUCGUGAGACAGUUCGGUCCCUAUCCACCGUGGGCGUGAGAAAUUUGAGAGGAUCUGUCCUUAGUACGAGAGGACCGGGAUGGACAGACCGCUGGUGUACGAGUUGUACUGCCAAGUGCACAGCUCGGUAGCUACGUCUGGAAAGGAUAAGUGCUGAAGGCAUCUAAGCACGAAACCAACCUCGAGAUAAGAUUUCUAUGAGAUUACUUGAAGAAAACAAGAUAGAUAGGUCAGAGGUGUAAAGAUAGUAAUAUCAAAGCUAACUGAUACUAAUAAAUCGAAAACUUGACU
rnacentral:rRNA from 1 species